rnacentral:rRNA from 1 species
UCUACGGGUGGCUGCAGUGGGGAAUAUUUCGCAAUGUGCGAAAGCCUGACGCAGCGCCGCCGCGUGAGGGAAGAAGGGUUUCGGCUCGUAAACUUCUAACAACAGGGACGAAAGAAAUGACGGUACCUGAAUAAGAAGCACCGGCUAACUACGUGCCAGCAGCCGCGGUAAUACGUAGGGAGCAAGCGUUAGCCGGAAUUACUGGGUGUAAAGUGUGAGUAGGCGGCACGGGAAGCCAGAUGUGAAAGCCUUGGGCUUAACCCGAGGAUUGCAUUUGGAACUAUCAAGCUAGAGUACAGGAGAGGAAAGCGGAAUUCCUAGUGUAGCGGUGAAAUGCGUAGAUAUUAGGAAGAACACCAGUGGCGAAGGCGGCUUUCUGGACUGAAACUGACGCUGAGGCACGAAAGCGUGGGGAGAGAACAGGAUUAGAUACCCGUGUAGUC